rnacentral:rRNA from 1 species
UAAGCGUACACGGUGGAUGCCCUGGCAGUCAGAGGCGAUGAAGGACGUGCUAAUCUGCGAUAAGCGUCGGUAAGGUGAUAUGAACCGUUAUAACCGGCGAUUUCCGAAUGGGGAAACCCAGUGUGAUUCGUCACACUAUCAUUAACUGAAUCCAUAGGUUAAUGAGGCGAACCGGGGGAACUGAAACAUCUAAGUACCCCGAGGAAAAGAAAUCAACCGAGAUUCCCCCAGUAGCGGCGAGCGAACGGGGAGCAGCCCAGAGCCUGAAUCAGUAUGUGUGUUAGUGGAAGCGUCUGGAAAGGCGCGCGAUACAGGGUGACAGCCCCGUACACAAAAAUGCACAUGCUGUGAGCUCGAUGAGUAGGGCGGGACACGUGGUAUCCUGUCUGAAUAUGGGGGGACCAUCCUCCAAGGCUAAAUACUCCUGACUGACCGAUAGUGAACCAGUACCGUGAGGGAAAGGCGAAAAGAACCCCGGCGAGGGGAGUGAAAAAGAACCUGAAACCGUGUACGUACAAGCAGUGGGAGCACGCUUAGGCGUGUGACUGCGUACCUUUUGUAUAAUGGGUCAGCGACUUAUAUUCUGUAGCAAGGUUAACCGAAUAGGGGAGCCGAAGGGAAACCGAGUCUUAACUGGGCGUUAAGUUGCAGGGUAUAGACCCGAAACCCGGUGAUCUAGCCAUGGGCAGGUUGAAGGUUGGGUAACACUAACUGGAGGACCGAACCGACUAAUGUUGAAAAAUUAGCGGAUGACUUGUGGCUGGGGGUGAAAGGCCAAUCAAACCGGGAGAUAGCUGGUUCUCCCCGAAAGCUAUUUAGGUAGCGCCUCGUGAAUUCAUCUCCGGGGGUAGAGCACUGUUUCGGCAAGGGGGUCAUCCCGACUUACCAACCCGAUGCAAACUGCGAAUACCGGAGAAUGUUAUCACGGGAGACACACGGCGGGUGCUAACGUCCGUCGUGAAGAGGGAAACAACCCAGACCGCCAGCUAAGGUCCCAAAGUCAUGGUUAAGUGGGAAACGAUGUGGGAAGGCCCAGACAGCCAGGAUGUUGGCUUAGAAGCAGCCAUCAUUUAAAGAAAGCGUAAUAGCUCACUGGUCGAGUCGGCCUGCGCGGAAGAUGUAACGGGGCUAAACCAUGCACCGAAGCUGCGGCAGCGACGCUGAUGCGUUGUUGGGUAGGGGAGCGUUCUGUAAGCCUGUGAAGGUGUGCUGUGAGGCAUGCUGGAGGUAUCAGAAGUGCGAAUGCUGACAUAAGUAACGAUAAAGCGGGUGAAAAGCCCGCUCGCCGGAAGACCAAGGGUUCCUGUCCAACGUUAAUCGGGGCAGGGUGAGUCGACCCCUAAGGCGAGGCCGAAAGGCGUAGUCGAUGGGAAACAGGUUAAUAUUCCUGUACUUGGUGUUACUGCGAAGGGGGGACGGAGAAGGCUAUGUUGGCCGGGCGACGGUUGUCCCGGUUUAAGCGUGUAGGCUGGUUUUCCAGGCAAAUCCGGAAAACUAAGGCUGAGGCGUGAUGACGAGGCACUACGGUGCUGAAGCAACAAAUGCCCUGCUUCCAGGAAAAGCCUCUAAGCAUCAGGUAACAUCAAAUCGUACCCCAAACCGACACAGGUGGUCAGGUAGAGAAUACCAAGGCGCUUGAGAGAACUCGGGUGAAGGAACUAGGCAAAAUGGUGCCGUAACUUCGGGAGAAGGCACGCUGAUAUGUAGGUGAAGUCCCUCGCGGAUGGAGCUGAAAUCAGUCGAAGAUACCAGCUGGCUGCAACUGUUUAUUAAAAACACAGCACUGUGCAAACACGAAAGUGGACGUAUACGGUGUGACGCCUGCCCGGUGCCGGAAGGUUAAUUGAUGGGGUCAGCGCAAGCGAAGCUCUUGAUCGAAGCCCCGGUAAACGGCGGCCGUAACUAUAACGGUCCUAAGGUAGCGAAAUUCCUUGUCGGGUAAGUUCCGACCUGCACGAAUGGCGUAAUGAUGGCCAGGCUGUCUCCACCCGAGACUCAGUGAAAUUGAACUCGCUGUGAAGAUGCAGUGUACCCGCGGCAAGACGGAAAGACCCCGUGAACCUUUACUAUAGCUUGACACUGAACAUUGAGCCUUGAUGUGUAGGAUAGGUGGGAGGCUUUGAAGUGUGGACGCCAGUCUGCAUGGAGCCGACCUUGAAAUACCACCCUUUAAUGUUUGAUGUUCUAACGUUGACCCGUAAUCCGGGUUGCGGACAGUGUCUGGUGGGUAGUUUGACUGGGGCGGUCUCCUCCUAAAGAGUAACGGAGGAGCACGAAGGUUGGCUAAUCCUGGUCGGACAUCAGGAGGUUAGUGCAAUGGCAUAAGCCAGCUUGACUGCGAGCGUGACGGCGCGAGCAGGUGCGAAAGCAGGUCAUAGUGAUCCGGUGGUUCUGAAUGGAAGGGCCAUCGCUCAACGGAUAAAAGGUACUCCGGGGAUAACAGGCUGAUACCGCCCAAGAGUUCAUAUCGACGGCGGUGUUUGGCACCUCGAUGUCGGCUCAUCACAUCCUGGGGCUGAAGUAGGUCCCAAGGGUAUGGCUGUUCGCCAUUUAAAGUGGUACGCGAGCUGGGUUUAGAACGUCGUGAGACAGUUCGGUCCCUAUCUGCCGUGGGCGCUGGAGAACUGAGGGGGGCUGCUCCUAGUACGAGAGGACCGGAGUGGACGCAUCACUGGUGUUCGGGUUGUCAUGCCAAUGGCACUGCCCGGUAGCUAAAUGCGGAAGAGAUAAGUGCUGAAAGCAUCUAAGCACGAAACUUGCCCCGAGAUGAGUUCUCCCUGACUCCUUGAGAGUCCUGAAGGAACGUUGAAGACGACGACGUUGAUAGGCCGGAUGUGUAAGCGCAGCGAUGCGUUGAGCUAACCGGUACUAAUGAACCGUGAGGCUUAACCUUACAACGCCGAAGGUGUUU